rnacentral:rRNA from 1 species
ACGCUCGACACCUACGGGAGACAGCAGUGGGGAAUAUUGCACAAUGGGGGAAACCCUGAUGCAGCGACGCCGCGUGAGCGAAGAAGUAUUUCGGUAUGUAAAGCUCUAUCAGCAGGGAAGAAACUGACGGUACCUGACUAAGAAGCACCGGCUAAAUACGUGCCGGCAGCCGCGGUAAUCUGAGCGGGCUGGCAAGGC